rnacentral:lncRNA from 1 species
UCUCNACGGAAGCUUUUGUUUUUAAACUCUAAUUCAUUCAUUCAUUAAACCAUUCGAAAACCUUUUUAAAACUGUUUCCCACACGGAAACUCUAUUUUGAAAAUCAACUACCUCGAGGGGUAGAAAACAACGAUGCGUAAAUAUGUAUAAAUGCACAAAUCCGAGAACUGAAUAUCCAUAAAACCAAAACCAGUGAUCAACAAAAUCUCUAAUCAUGCAUAACGAAAAUCACAAACAUUCAAACAUCUAACUGAACCAUUUAUUAUUAACAACUACUAAAUGCGGGAAGAAAUAUAAUCAGGGUGACGGUCGCUACUGCCGACUAGCUAGAUCGUCCUCCCAUCGAGCCCAAAUACCAACUCCUCGUCCAUGUCACCUGGGGGGAAUGGGGGGUAAGAAACCGCAACCAUGGUUUCCCAGUGGAUACGUCAGAGCUACGAAGGCAAGCCGUAAUCACCGGAAACCAAAAGAGAUAGAACAACAGAUAUGAACAUGAUAUGAUAUAAGAGCAACUACAGUACUAAUAGAAACAGGAUAAUAACUGAGCAAGAAUGAAAC